GGCGUGAUCGUAUAGUGGUUAGUAGAUUGCGUUGUGGCCGCAGUAACCCAGGUUCGAUUCCUAAUCACGGCA
rfam:Nematostella vectensis strain CH2 x CH6 NEMVEscaffold_113_Cont13477, whole genome shotgun sequence.